GCUGGUUUUCCCUUUGAGAAUGCAGCCUGGCUUGUAUGCAUUCCCUGGUCUCCUGGAAAGCCUGUCUUUGGGACACCUCUGCUGGGUAGUGGGUACACACGCCUACAAUGUUUGUACAGGAGAAGAUGAGAACAUUGGAGACCAGCUGUUUGAGGAGGAACUUAUCCUCUGCGUUGAUCUUGAGGGAGACGGCCAGGUGGA
rnacentral:lncRNA from 1 species